rnacentral:misc_RNA from 1 species
GUGAAUCAUCGAAUUUUUGAACGCAAAUUGCACUCUCUUCGGAGAGUAUGCCUGUUUGAGGGUCAGCCUAUAAAAAUCGACAUUGUUGCUGUUUCGCGGUGGCGUUCGUCGGUAAUUGGGUCAUCUUAAAUCCUUUUGAUUUAAGCGACUUAAAAUUUUCUUUUGUUCUUUUAAACGUUCCUAAAUUUAUUUUUUUUAUAAUUUUAGGGUCUGUUUUUUAUCAGGCGG